rnacentral:rRNA from 1 species
UACGAAGGGGGGCUAGCGUUGUUCGGAAUUACUGGGCGUAAAGGGCGCGUAGGCGGUCCUGAUCGUCGGAUGUGAAAGGCCUGGGCUCAACCUGGGAAUGGCAUCCGAUACGGCGGGACUGGAGUGUGGGAGAGGUUGGUGGAAUUCCCAGUGUAGAGGUGAAAUUCGUAGAUAUUGGGAAGAACACCGGUGGCGAAGGCGGCCAAACUGGACCACAACUGACGCUGAGGCGCGAAAGCGUGGGGAGCAAACAGG